rnacentral:rRNA from 1 species
AGUGAACGCUGGCGGUAGGCCUAACACAUGCAAGUCGAACGGCAGCACAGUAAGAGCUUGCUCUUACGGGUGGCGAGUGGCGGACGGGUGAGGAAUACAUCGGAAUCUACUUUUUCGUGGGGGAUAACGUAGGGAAACUUACGCUAAUACCGCAUACGACCUACGGGUGAAAGCAGGGGAUCUUCGGACCUUGCGCGAUUGAAUGGGCCGAUGUCGGAUUAGCUAGUUGGCGGGGUAAAGGCCCACCAAGGCGACGAUCCGUAGCUGGUCUGAGAGGAUGAUCAGCCACACUGGAACUGAGACACGGUCCAGACUCCUACGGGAGGCAGCAGUGGGGAAUAUUGGACAAUGGGCGCAAGCCUGAUCCAGCCAUACCGCGUGGGUAAAGAAGGCCUUCGGGUUGUAAAGCCCUUUUGUUGGGAAAGAAAAGCAGCAGGUUAAUACCCCGCUGUUCUGACGGUACCCAAAGAAUAAGCACCGGCUAACUUCGUG